UAUGAUGAAAAUGGAAUGGCUCUAUGGGGCUUUGCAGUAGGCAUUUAUGAUGUUAUAGUUACUAAGGCAACUUAAAUAAGGAACAUUUGUUAUGUUCUUUUCUUCAUUGUUUAAGGAAUGUUAUUGCGAUACAUAUUUGUCAGACCCAGAGCUUCUCUGCUGUUAAAACCCUACCUGGCUUCUUAGGAGUUGCUAAUUGCAAUCUGUGUUUUAAAAACUUUGGUUUCAUUUAAUGGGGCUUUAAAGUCACAGAUAGAGCUCAUUGGCCAGUGGAUUAUGUAAUUGAUAGUUGAAUAGAAGUUGUUGGGUAGAGAUCUAUGGAUUUUAUUUAUUUUUGGCAUUAUUGUGGUAUGAUAGACUUACUUGUUAGUUCCUGUUUGAAAUUUAAAUCCAAUUUUAUGCAUCAGUAUGAUAAUCUGUUUCACCUUUUCUGCUUGUUUAUUUCUGAGUAAUUAUGUAUAUGCAUAUAUUACAAUAUAUCACAAUAGAAAUGGUAAGGUGUGGGUUUCAUUCUAAUAGAUGAUUCGCAGUUGCGCUUACAGCUUAGAUAAACUAAAUACAAUUUUAGUUUCUAAUCUCUCAAACUAAAUUCAAAAGCUAUAACCAUAGUGAUCUAUUUCAUUAAAUAAAGUUAAUUGUCCUACAUUCUUCAUCUAUAUGCUAAUAUUAUAAAAAUGUAAUUUGCAAUUUCAUUUGAACUCUAAUAAUUGGUGGCUAGAAAAAGAUUAAGCAAUUUACUUUUCAAUGAUUUUCACAAUAAUUUCCCUUUUUUUUCUUUAUUUGGUGCUCACAAUUCUCAAGAAUUUGAACAAUAUAUUAUGAAUUGUUUUACAAUCAAAAUUUUUAAUUACAAGCAAAAGACCUGCAUUGCAUUCUGCUAAAAUCUUCGGUAUGAUGGGUGGGGUGAUGGGACUUCGGAAGGGGGAGGCCCAAACCUCAGAGAUUUAUUCUAUGUCCUGUUCCGAUGGUUAAAUUUCUUGACUGAUGAUUCAACAUCUGAGCUCUUGUGAACUAUAUUACUAUUAAAGUAGACGGAUGAAACAAUAUCAGCUGCAUAUUGGUCUGCUAGCAUCUGCUACCAUACUUCAGUGGGUAAAAAUGUAACCAUAUAUAUUUUCAGUGGAAGUUCAUGGUUUUUCUUUACCUUUUUUUUUUCUUAAUUACCCUCCGAUCAGUGUAAAUUUCUAAGAAUUACCAAACAUUUGCUUCCCUAGUCUUUAUGCAAGAGGGAAACAAAAAUAAAAUAAAAGGGCAUUCCGUUGUACAUUCCAUGUCUGCUUGUAAGUCACAAGAUCAUUGAAUAAUGAAUCACAAUAAAGGUCAUGCAUAUUAUGGUGUUUGCUAUUCAUUGCAUAUCAACUUUCAAGUGCACUUAAACCUGAAUUACCUAAAACAUUGUAUGUGGAAGAAGCCAAACAUCAAUAUGCAUCCUUGAUGACUAUACUGAUGCGCGCUCAUGAUUUUGUUGCUUUCCAGCUGUAGUUGUAGCUGUAUUUGUACAUCCCUUCAAUUUAUUCUCCCUCAUUUGCUUUUUUAUUCCCAGUUUAUGAAGGAAUGAUAUAAAUGAAAUAAUAAUAUACUAUUAUAGUCAGGUAAGUAAGAUUAAUUUUUCUUCUGGGUUUUCCAUAUGGACAGUUCUUUGAUGCAGUGGUUGCCAAUAUAUCAUAUUUAAUGAUUUCUGGGUUGAUAAUUGAUGAAUUAUAUUUUAUGUUAUAUCCUACAUGGACUUGAUAAUUGAUUACAGUAUGCUACAUUUGCAGAUGUGCGGAGAGAGAAAGAUAUGUAUAUCGUCUGCUUGGGGUAGUGGAGCAUUCAGGAACAAUGAGAGGAGGUCACUAUGUGGCUUAUGUGAGAGGAGGUGAGAGAAGCAAAGGCAAGGCAGAGAAUGAAAAUGGAGGGUUUGUGUGGUAUUAUGCCAGUGAUGUCUAUAUACGUGAGGUUUCCUUGGAAGAAGUUCUUCGUUGCGAGGCCUACAUUUUAUUCUAUGAGAAAAUCUGAUUUUCUGAUAUUAAUUUAUUUUCCCGAUACAUUUGAUUCUUCUUUGAGAUAGUGUGGGGUCAACUAGCAACCCCCCGAGAGAGAGGGAGAGUGAGAGAGAGAGAGGGUGUUAAAUUGAGAAGAGGUGAAUAUACAACUACAACCAUCAUAUAUUUCAUACCCAUUUUUUGACAUGUAAUGAGCUCAAAUACGUACAUUGUGAAAUGACAUUAGAAAAUUCAUUGAAUGGCAUUUGUUGCACCAGCAGUAACCUCAUAUAAUCUGGGGUCAAACACUGAUGGUGCCUUUAUGGAAG
rnacentral:misc_RNA from 1 species